GUUCCUCGGUGAGCUAACGAGGUUUAAUGUGCCCGUGGUGCCCCGCCAGCCCGCAGGGCUGUCGCUGCCAGCGACACCGCCCGGGUGUGGGCGGUGCCCCGGGAGGAGCGGGGGAUACCCGUGUCGCACCAUCAAAAAGUCCUGCUGAUAGUACUCCAAGAAGGCCUGUUUUAUCUGUCAGUGCAAGAAAAAUUAAAGAUAGUGCAGCAGACUGGCAUAAUUUAAUGAUGAAAUGGGAGAGACUGAAUGAUAAUGGAUUUACUACGGCAAACAAAAUAGUCAACAUGAAGAUCAGUGAGCAAUUUCAAGACAGAAAACUGGAGAUAGCAUGUGAUAACAGUGUCACAGAACCUGAAAAGCCAACCCCAAGAUACAACGAAGAACUGGACAAUUGCUGUGCAGAAUUACUCGAGACCUUAAAGCAGAUGACAAAAAUACAACUGAAAAUGGAAAAGCUUACUUUGACUACUAAAGCAGUCUGUGACUUGGAAGCAUUCCACCGUGGAGCUGGGAAUUCCACAGCACCCUUCUUUCAUACAUGGCCCACACCAUAUUUCUAUGAGGUCUCUUUGAAGCUCUCCGAAAUGUACAAGAAGGAACUACAACUCAAGCAAGCAAUUGUACAAGACAUUGCUCAUUCUGCUGACCAGGAUCUGCUGAUGGUGUAUUUAUCAUCGUGGUUAUACCAGCCUUACAUUGAGAACAGCAGCACACUGCUACUUGAAGCCAUGCUGCUGGAGACAGGACACAGAAAGUGCUAGAAUUCCACAUGGCUGGCUUCUAAUGAUGCUUACAUGAAACUGAAAUGGCAAAUUGCAAGGCUUACCACGCAUGGUGUACUUGAACUGGCUGCAACCACGGUAGUGUUUGGAGACCUUGAGGCCGACACUGCGGCACGAGUAGCUUUCUGUCCAUUUACCAUCUUAGAUGUGGGAACCUUGUUCACAGACACUGAUCCAUGAGAUGGCAAAGGUCUCUGCAUAAGCAACUGAACUGGAGACUCGGAAGAACUAUGCAGGAAUAGCUGCUGCUGCUCAGUUCCUGAAACAGGCUGUAUCCUAAUUAUCUGGGGAUUAAUAAUGCCAAGUCCUGGCACGCUAGAAUUCCUACCAACCGGCUGACUCAGCGUUAUAGUUUUGGACUGGAUUGGUGCCAAUGAUGUCAUUGGCCUUUCAGUUUCCUUCAUCUGUCCUGGCUGAACUUGGACACAAAUGGCUUCCAGCUGCUUUUGUGGAAAAAAAGGAAGAGUUGCAAUUACACAAAUACAGUAUUAAUAAAUACAGUACUUAUCAAGA